CUCCCCCAGAGCCAAGCGCCAGAAGAUACAUAAUGUUGCUGUCCAAUGUGAUGUCAACCCGAAGGCGAACGGUUCCCCGUCCUCUAUAGGUGACAUGCAGGUUGGAAAAGAGAAGCAUUUCAAGCAUUCCCCUGCCAGGCAUUUGGCCAUGAAGCCACUUAUGACUUUGGAGGUCCAGUCAUCAGAGUGUGAAGAGAUCCUUCCAAAUGCCUUGCGCCCAUGUUCCAGGAAGGCCAAGCAAGCAGCUCUUUCUGCUCUGCAGGAAGAGAAGGAAUCCUGGAGCGAUGAGGACGAGAUCUUCAUGGACCAGCAAUCAGAGUUGUCAGUUGGUACCAGCACUUCUGGGGCUAAGAAGAAG
rnacentral:lncRNA from 1 species